rnacentral:tRNA from 1 species
UCAGAAUAUAAUUUAAGAAAAAAAUUUUAGCUUUGGAUGCUAGAAAUAUUAAGUGUGUUAUUUAUUCUGAU